rnacentral:rRNA from 1 species
GAUGAACGCUGGCGGCGUGCUUAAUACAUGCAAGUCGAGCGAACAGACGAGGAGCUUGUUCCUUUGACGUUAGCGGCGGACGGGUGAGUAACACGUGGAUAACCUACCUAUAAGACUGGGAUAACUUCGGGAAACCGGCGCUAAUACCGGAUAAUAUAUUGAACCGCAUGGUUCAAUAGUGAAAGACGGCUUUGCUGUCACUUAUAGAUGGAUCCGCGCCGCAUUAGCUAGUUGGUAAGGUAAAGGCUUACCAAGGCAACGAUGCGUAGCCGACGUGAGAGGGUGAUCGGCCGCCCUAGAACUGGGACACGGUCCAGGCUCCUAAGGGAGGCAGCAGUAGGGAAUCUUCCGCAAUGGGCGAAAGCCUGACGGAGCAGCGCCGCGUGAGUGAUAGAGAUCUUCGGAGCGUAAAACUCUGUUAUUAGGGAAGAACAAAUGUGUAAGUUACUGUACACGGCUUGACGGUACCUAAUCAGAAAGCCACGGCUAACUACGUG